rnacentral:rRNA from 1 species
CAGCAGCCGCGGGAAUACAGAGGGUGCAAGCGUUAAUCGGAAUUACUGGGCGUAAAGCGCGCGUAGGUGGUUUGUUAAGUUGGAUGUGAAAUCCCCGGGCUCAACCUGGGAACUGCAUCCAAAACUGGCAAGCUAGAGUAUGGUAGAGGGUGGUGGAAUUUCCUGUGUAGCGGUGAAAUGCGUAGAUAUAGGAAGGAACACCAGUGGCGAAGGCGACCACCUGGACUGAUACUGACACUGAGGUGCGAAAGCGUGGGGAGCAAACAGGAUUAGAGACCCCUGUAGUCCCUGUCUCUUAUAC